UUCUUUUUUCUGUAAGUUUGUUGGAAAAAUGGCCAAAUGAUGUGUUUAUAAUCGAGUUGAAUUCCUGCUAUGUGUGGGUAUAGUGAUUCUGACUCUGAAUAGGAAGAUCUGAUGCCUUUUUCUUUUCAGUUUUACAGGUUUUGUUUUAUUUCAGAUUUUCAUUGAUUUUUUUUUAGUUUCGUGAUUUAUUGGCCAGUGAUGACAGUUUAUAAAAUGGUUGACUGAAAAGCAAGUUUUUAAGCUUGCAAAGUUGCUGAAAAUCAUGAACUAGGACGGUCUGAGGCUAUUCUGAUUUUGGGUUUUUGCAAAGCUUGAAUCUUUUUAAUGUUUUUUUUGGUCAUGUGGGUUGUGUAUGAUGAUAUCAUAUGUUCAAUACAUUAUCCCUGUCUGAUAAUUCUUGAUGUUUGCAUUUAAUCUGACUCAUACCCAUUUAUUAUGCCUGAUCUUUGUUUCUUGGUGGCAGUGGCGGAUCUAGAAAAAACCUAAAGGGGCAACCUUUCUAUUAAAAGGGGGCAGCGACAUCGAAAAAAUGUCAAAUUUUUCCAAAAUUUACACUAAUUUUACUCUACGGCCGGAGCGUCAAGGGGCAACAAGGGUUGCCCCUUGUUCUAUGCUAGGUCCGCCCCUGCUUGGUGGUCGGCUGAAAAUUUAUUUCAUCUAAUGCUUAUAUUGAGAUUUUAUCGCAAAUGUCAUACCUUUAGUGAUACGUAUAUUAUGAGAUUUUUUUAUCUUUAGUUUUUUUUGUGACGACAUUACUAGUAUGUUUUAGUCAAAAUGUAGACAUAAAUGAGAUGCCUCCACAUGAUGUUUAGUUUGUUCAGCAUGAUUGAAAUGCUACAAACAUCGGCACAAUUUGUCUGAUCUUGUCUCAAAUGGAAUUUUAUUUAUUUGAUUUUGAUGGCUAAUUCAAAAUUAAUUAUCUUUGUUGUAUUUUCAAUUAAUUUUUUGGUAAAUUAAUGUUCCGGACCGAACAAGAAGACAUUGGUUUGGCUAUGACUUGGAUGCCUUUUACCGAGCAAAGCGACCGUCAAGAAACUAUCAUCUUGCAGCUUAAAGAAUUUUGUGCGCUUACUUUAACAAUUAAGCUUUUUAUUUUAAUUAACUU
rnacentral:lncRNA from 1 species